CAGGAGUGAAGCUGCUGUCUGAUCUGAAGGAGAGUCCACACUGCAGACUGGAGACUCUGAGCUGGAGGUGAUCUCUGUCAGAGUGUGAGGGAUCAGAAAGGUGGUGGUGUUGAGAGAGGAUCAGCUGUGUCCUGAUGAUCCAGAGAGGUUGAAGCAGCAGCAUCAGCUUGUGUGUGGAGAGGCUCUGACUGGGCCAUGUUACUGGGAGGUAGAGUGGAGAGGAGAGCUUCAUCCAGCAGUGACUGACAGAGGAAUCCCAACAGUGCUGCAGUCUGAACUGCUCUGAGUCACAGUCAGACACAAGAGUCAAGUCCAUCCAUCCAUCCAUCAUCGUCAACCGCUUAUCCUGCAUACAGGGUAGAGGGGCAAAGUCAAGUCCACCACCACUUAUUUAAACAGACUUUUCUGCUUUGCUUUCUGUUGCAGCUCCACCUUGUGGAUUGAUGGAGAAUUGCAGUUAAUUUCCACGUUAUAUUUCUAACACAUUUUCAAAACUCUAUAAAAAUGGCCGAUAAAUAUAUAAAUGAAUAAACAGAAAAUAUAAUAAAAACAACAAUUUUGAAUAAUAUAUAAACAUUAUUAUUUUUUCUAUUUUAUAGCAAGUCCGUCAACUGCAGAUCCCCUAAUUUUAUCUUUGUCGACCUUUGAAGUUCGACCGGUCUUUUUAAAACUCCAUUUUGAAUCAUAUAUUGUUUGAAGCUUGUUUUCUAGAGCACAAUGUUAGCUGGUCCAAAUAUGGCCAAUAUCUAUAAGAGAUGUGUUCAUAUGACAAACAUUUCAGUCAUUUUUAUGCUCAGUGUGUUGUUGUUGCUUUAAAACAACCAUUUUCUCAAAGUGACAUGCUUCCACAGUGUGCCAAGUAAUUUUUCUUACAGAAAAAUCUUUUAUUUAGAUUUCUUUUAUAAUUCUCAUUUAAUUUGUAAAUAUAUAGAAUAAAAGGCUCCUUCCCACAGAUGAGUGGUGUUACAGCCGACUGUCGAUAAAGGGAAAACAAGCUGUGAGAGGCUGAACAUGGAGAAAACUGAUGAGACUCCACCACAUUUCUAACAAUCCAUUUAUUUUCUAUUUCACAACGAUGCACAACAGUUCCACUUAACAGCUGUUUCCAUACGUCUGUGCAAAGAAAAGGCCAGAGCAAGACAAGUCAACAUGCACCAUUAAAGAUCUGAAAUGACCCUACCCCCAUGAUCACUGCAGCCAGGUGAGGUGAACAGGUGAGUGCACCUGCUUCUAACUGCGUCCUACACACCCACAUACACACCCACCACCCAAGUGUCAAUCAAGUGUGCAAAUACAAAUCAAGGACAUGAAGAUGCAAAAACUUCCAUUUGUGGCUCCUACAGGUGGUUUAUUUUGAGUAAAUCCAAACUAUAUUUUGAUAAAGCAUUCUGUAAAUGUCUGAACAUUUGGUUUAUUAUCACAAUAAAGCAACAAAAAUCCAUCUGACUCUUA